UGCAGGGGCACUCUGUGUUACAAGAAAAUAUUAAUAUUGUAAAACAAUUUGUAACCUUGCAAGAAGAAAUAUCACAAAAUUUGAUUUGGCUACAUUUUCUUAAGAAGUCAAACAGAAAGUAGUGAAACAUUCU